rnacentral:misc_RNA from 1 species
AGAGAGGUGCAAACAGGGGUGCAUCUUUUGAAGGAGAAGCAGGAAAUCGUUGAGGCUCAGCUACAACUUGCAAAGCUGCAAGUGGGAGACCAGCAACAAUUGGAAACCCAAAACUCUGGGCACAUGGACUCUGUGCAGCAAGCAGCAUCUGCCGCUCCACAAUCUCACCAGCAGUUGCAGCAGGCAGCAUCUGCCCCUCCACAGUCUUACCAACAGCUUCCUUCCAUCACUUUUCCACAGUCCAUUCCUCCUGUUCCUGCUCCUGUUCCUGUUCCUCCUGCUGUCCCUCCACCACCUAUUCCCCAACAGAAUUUACCACCUCCAGCUCCACUUCCAAGCCAGUUACCACAGAGUCAGAUUACCUCUGUCCCUCAAAGAGAGCCUUACUAUUCACCGCCUGGUCAAACGCAAGAACCUCCAAAUCCACAGUAUCAGGUAUCUCUAUCACAGCAGCCACAGCCCUCUCGUGCACCACCACC